GACGAACGCUGGCGGCGUGCUUAACACAUGCAAGUCGAACGGAAAGGCCCUGCUUGCAGGGUACUCGAGUGGCGAACGGGUGAGUAACACGUGGGUGAUCUGCCCUGCACUUCGGGAUAAGCCUGGGAAACUGGGUCUAAUACCGGAUAGGAGACAUUUUUAGUGUGAUGGUUGGAAAGUUUUUUCGGUGUUGGAUGAGCUAGCGGCCUAUCAGCUUGUUGGUGGGGUAAUGGCCUACCAAGGCGGCGACGGGUAGCCGGCCUGAGAGGGUGGACGGCCACAUUGGGACUGAGAUACGGCCCAGACUCCUACGGGAGGCAGCAGUGGGGAAUAUUGCACAAUGGGCGCAAGCCUGAUGCAGCGACGCCGCGUGGGGGAUGACGGCCUUCGGGUUGGAAACUCCUUUCGCUAGGGACGGAGCUUUUUGUGACGGUACCUAGAUAAGAAGCACCGGCUAACUACGUG
rnacentral:rRNA from 1 species